rnacentral:rRNA from 1 species
AAUGCACAUAUUGUGAGCUCGAUGAGUAGGGCGGGACACGUGGUAUCCUGUCUGAAUAUGGGGGGACCAUCCUCCAAGGCUAAAUACUCCUGACUGACCGAUAGUGAACCAGUACCGUGAGGGAAAGGCGAAAAGAACCCCGGCGAGGGGAGUGAAAAAGAACCUGAAACCGUGUACGUACAAGCAGUGGGAGCCUCUUAAUGGGGUGACUGCGUACCUUUUGUAUAAUGGGUCAGCGACUUAUAUUCUGUAGCAAGGUUAACCGAAUAGGGGAGCCGAAGGGAAACCGAGUCUUAACUGGGCGUUAAGUUGCAGGGUAUAGACCCGAAACCCGGUGAUCUAGCCAUGGGCAGGUUGAAGGUUGGGUAACACUAACUGGAGGACCGAACCGACUAAUGUUGAAAAAUUAGCGGAUGACUUGUGGCUGGGGGUGAAAGGCCAAUCAAACCGGGAGAUAGCUGGUUCUCCCCGAAAGCUAUUUAGGUAGCGCCUCGUGAAUUCAUCUCCGGGGGUAGAGCACUGUUUCGGCAAGGGGGUCAUCCCGACUUACCAACCCGAUGCAAACUGCGAAUACCGGAGAAUGUUAUCACGGGAGACACACGGCGGGUGCUAACGUCCGUCGUGAAGAGGGAAACAACCCAGACCGCCAGCUAAGGUCCCAAAGUCAUGGUUAAGUGGGAAACGAUGUGGGAAGGCCCAGACAGCCAGGAUGUUGGCUUAGAAGCAGCCAUCAUUUAAAGAAAGCGUAAUAGCUCACUGGUCGAGUCGGCCUGCGCGGAAGAUGUAACGGGGCUAAACCA